AAAAAUAUUUGCUUCUUAUUGAUUAGCUUUUUUUUUUUUUAACACAAAACAGAGAUGUUCACUGUGACCUCAAGUGGAUUCUUCUCCACCAAUCCAAAAUUUUAUCCCAGGAGACACCAGCAAUCAUUUGCAGGAGAUAUUGAUCAACCAGAGAAUGCACAUUUCUGAACCAGAUCCCUGGUGAGGUUGAUGGGACAGUAGCAGGAAGCUUGUUUUGUGGAUUUGGAAAUGAAAACCCAAGAGAGUCUGAGAAGCCCUAUGUGCCACAAGUCCUCUGUCUGCCCCCGGCCACUGCCAGCAUCACGAGGCCAGCAAACAGACUCUGGAAAAAGAAGAACUCUCCUGUGGCUGCUGUCCAUACCACCUUGUGGUUGCAGAAGCAAAGCAGGGCUAGACCUGAUCUCUGGGUGCUCCAGAGGCCACCCCAGGGGACCGGGGUGCUUU
rnacentral:lncRNA from 1 species